AAGGAUUUGUUUGUAUUUAAUAAAUCAAUUUAUUAAAAUCUUUUUCAGAUAUUUUUUUGGGUGGAAAAAAUAUUUUUUUACUAUUAACAAUAUUCGUUAGUAUUAACAAAAUCUAUUUUUUAUGAGAACAAAAUUUUUGUAACUAUUAAGAAGCUUUAAUAUAUUGAAAAAAAUAUUUAUUUCCACCAAAUAAGAUUUGUUAAUAGUUAAAAAAUAUUUUGUUGGUGGUCAGUGUUGAUAGAUGGCUAUACUUAAAAACAAUUAAUAAAAUGGAAGCUUUGCUACAAUCGUGGGAUUUAAGUGAGUUAUACUCGAUUUUUUGUGUAAACCAUAUAACUGACUUUGAAAUCCUUGGUGAAUUCCUUACUAAAACUCGAGAAGAGACCCAAAAAGAAAUAAUCCCUAGUGUUUGUUUACGACUUCGUUUAAAUAAAAAAUAUAAUGAAUAUAUUUCCCAUCACGAGAAGAUUAAUGUAAAACUUUUCUAAAAAUAAUAAGAGGAAUUUUUUAAAUAUUAAUAAUCCAGUGUGUAAAUACUAAUAAAUGAUUUAUUAAAUAUUAAUAAAUCAUUUUUUAUAUGUUAAUAAAUUAUUUGUUAAAUAGUAAUAAAUAUUUGGUUAGCACAAAAAAAUCGCUGCUAAUA